GCCCAGAUGGCGGAACUGGUAGACGCACUGGACUCAAAAUCCAGCGGUCGCAAGACCAUGAGGGUUCGAUUCCCUCUUUGGGCACCA
rnacentral:tRNA from 1 species